GUGAACUGAAUGAGCUACUUUUUUUAACGGAACACUUUUUACUUGAAAGAAUGACAGAAAAACAGUGAUUAUUGAGAUUUGCAUAUUUGGCAGACAUUUUCUCAAAAAUGAAUAGAGUGGCUCCAUAAUGUUAAAGAAAGCAACUGACAACAUUUGUUUCCAGUGACAAAAUUCUGGAAAAAAAAAAAGCUUUUCAGUGAAAACUCAAGGUUUUGGAAGAGUUCCAUCUGUUAUCAUAAGCUUGACAGCCUCCCAAUAUUCCAAGACUUAUCUGAUGAGUUUGGUGGUGAUAUUAAUGAACGCGAUUUUCAGGAACCUCCACAUCCAGGCCUUAUAUUGACAGAACAGAAUCUCUAGGACCCAGUCGUGUCAUGUGGAUCACAUCGGCCUCCAGCUCGCCCAAGUUUGCACCUUAGACAUGUGGUCAUUGCACAGGUCAAGUGUCUGGAGCACCCUUACAAGACUGCACUUAGUCUUAACCCAGAGUGAAGUCACAUGCCCGUGCCUAUAUCCAGUCCCUGUACAGGACGCCAGAUUCAACUGAAACCUGACUAAAGAGGAACAUCCUCCAUCCAUGCAUUUCAUGCAUCCACCCAUUCAUCAACUCUAUGCCCAGCACUCUUCUCUCGGCCCUUCGCUGGGCUCACUGUCUACAGACCCAAGACUUUGUCCACCUUCUCUAUAUUCUGUGUUUCCUUGUGGUCUUAACCCCAGACCAGGGUUCAUAUAUCUAACUGACCACUUGUUACAUCCACUUGAAUUUCUCACCAAAAUCUCAAACUUAACAUGUCUCAAACUAAGAUCAUAAUCACCUCCUUCGCCUCAAUAAUACUUCCUUCUAGCGUACUCUAGCUAAUACUCUACUACUACUCUAGCGACUAGCAGCACUACCCACCUAGUGGUUUAAGCCAAACUUCUGAUUCAUUCUUAUCUCCUCUCUCAGCCUCAUCACAUACACAAUCCAAGCUCUGUUGUUUCUGCUUCCCUUAUAUCGCCUGAGCACUCCUUUUUCUUUCUUUUCUCAUUGCCAAAAUCCAUCAUUGAAAUAAUUUCCUAAAUACAUACAUGUGUGUGUAUAUAUAUACAUACACACCUGCAUUUACUCUAUUUCUUAAAUUCAUUUUGAAUGAUACUUUCAGGACAUUUCUUUUAUAAAAUACAAAUAAUGUGCAUCAAUUCUAUGCUAUAAAUCCUUGAUUUGUUUCCCACUUCCCAUGGAAACACACUCCAAAAUACUUAAAAUGGCCCAGGAUGGCCUGGCUCUGCCCACUUCUUCAAUCUUAUCUCUUAGCACAGUCUCCUGCACUCUCUCAGCUCUCUCCAUAAUGCAAAAUGCCAAAUCAUCUGCCGGAAACGCUCUCCCAGGCUGUUAUAACCUAGGUAACCAGCAUGUAUUCAUCAGGGGUCAGCUAAACAGCAUCUCCUUAGAGAAGUCAUGCUGAUUGCCUGUUACAUACUUUUCUAACACAUUCUUGAUCUUAAGAGUUUUAAAAAUUCAUAAAAAUUGAGUAUAUUAUUUACAAUUUUGCUUCAUUCCUACGUUCCUAGUCUAUUGCAAGCUCCAUGAAGGCACGAAAUCUUGCCAAGCAUAGUCAUGUCUAUGUCCCAAAAUAUCUGUUGCAAUGCAUGAUAUCUAGCAAAGACUCAAAUAUUUGAUAAAUGAAUGAACGAAAACAACCAUUGAGCAAUUUUUAUGGCCAAGUCCUCUAUGUUCCUCAAGCUGGUGUUUCAAUCCUAUGA
ensembl:lncRNA